AUUGAACGCUGGCGGCAGGCCUAACACAUGCAAGUCGAACGAGUGGCGGACGGGUGAGUAAUGUAUGGGCAACUGCCUGAUGGAGGGGGAUACCUACUGGAAACGGUAGCUAAUACCGCAUACCAUCGGAUGUGCCCAGAUGGGAUUAGAUAGUUGGUGGGGUAAAGGCUCACCUAGGCGACGAUCCCUAGCUGGUCUGAGAGGAUGACCAGCCACACGGGAACUGAGACACGGGCCAGACUCCUACGUGAGGCAGCAGUGGGGAAUAUUGCACAAUGGGCGCAAGCCUGAUGCAGGCAUGCCGCGUGGAGGAAGAAGGCCUUCGGGUUGUAAAGUACUUUCAGCGGGGAGGCGUUACCCGCAGAAGAAGCACCGGCUAACUCCGUGCCAGCAGCCGCGGUAAUUC
rnacentral:rRNA from 1 species